rnacentral:rRNA from 1 species
GGGUUGUGAGGUUAAGCGACUAAGCGUACACGGUGGAUGCCCUGGCAGUCAGAGGCGAUGAAGGACGUGCUAAUCUGCGAAAAGCGUCGGUAAGGUGAUAUGAACCGUUACAGCCGGCGAUGUCCGAAUGGGGAAACCCAGUGCAAUUCGUUGCACUAUCGUUUGAUGAAUACAUAGUCAAACGAGGCGAACCGGGGGAACUGAAACAUCUAAGUACCCCGAGGAAAAGAAAUCAACCGAGAUUCCCCCAGUAGCGGCGAGCGAACGGGGAGCAGCCCGGAGUCUGAAUCAGCUUGUGUGUUAGUGGAACGGUCUGGAAAGUCCGACGGUACAGGGUGAUAGUCCCGUACACCAAAAUGCACAGGUUGUGAACUCGAAGAGUAGGGCGGGACACGUGGUAUCCUGUCUGAAUAUGGGGGGACCAUCCUCCAAGGCUAAAUACUCCUGACUGACCGAUAGUGAACCAGUACCGUGAGGGAAAGGCGAAAAGAACCCCGGCGAGGGGAGUGAAAAAGAACCUGAAACCGUGUACGUACAAGCAGUAGGAGCCCCACCACCAAAGCGUUUCGCUUUGCGUGGUGCGCAAAAUGCGUAACGACAGCAUGAUGGACGGUUAACGGAGCGUAAGCGACGUUCAACAUCCAAAAUCAGGCAGUGGAGCGUUUUGGGGUGGGGUGACUGCGUACCUUUUGUAUAAUGGGUCAGCGACUUAUAUUCUGUAGCAAGGUUAACCGUAUAGGGGAGCCGCAGGGAAACCGAGUCUUAACUGGGCGUUAAGUUGCAGGGUAUAGACCCGAAACCCGGUGAUCUAGCCAUGGGCAGGUUGAAGGUUGGGUAACACUAACUGGAGGACCGAACCGACUAAUGUUGAAAAAUUAGCGGAUGACUUGUGGCUGGGGGUGAAAGGCCAAUCAAACCGGGAGAUAGCUGGUUCUCCCCGAAAGCUAUUUAGGUAGCGCCUCGUGAACUCAUCUUCGGGGGUAGAGCACUGUUUCGGCUAGGGGGUCAUCCCGACUUACCAACCCGAUGCAAACUACGAAUACCGAAGAAUGUUAUCACGGGAGACACACGGCGGGUGCUAACGUCCGUCGUGAAGAGGGAAACAACCCAGACCGCCAGCUAAGGUCCCAAAGUCAUGGUUAAGUGGGAAACGAUGUGGGAAGGCCCAGACAGCCAGGAUGUUGGCUUAGAAGCAGCCAUCAUUUAAAGAAAGCGUAAUAGCUCACUGGUCGAGUCGGCCUGCGCGGAAGAUGUAACGGGGCUAAACCAUGCACCGAAGCUGCGGCAGCGACACUAUGUGUUGUUGGGUAGGGGAGCGUUCUGUAAGCCGUUGAAGGUGGCCUGUGAGGGUUGCUGGAGGUAUCAGAAGUGCGAAUGCUGACAUAAGUAACGAUAAUGCGGGUGAAAAACCCGCACGCCGGAAGACCAAGGGUUCCUGUCCAACGUUAAUCGGGGCAGGGUGAGUCGACCCCUAAGGCGAGGCCGAAAGGCGUAGUCGAUGGGAAACAGGUUAAUAUUCCUGUACUUGGUGUUACUGCGAAGGGGGGACGGAGAAGGCUAUGUUGGCCGGGCGACGGUUGUCCCGGUUUAAGCAUGUAGGCGGAUGUUCCAGGUAAAUCCGGAACGUUAUCAACGCUGAGGUGUGAUGACGAGGCACUACGGUGCUGAAGUGACAAAUGCCCUGCUUCCAGGAAAAGCCUCUAAGCAUCAGGUAACAUCAAAUCGUACCCCAAACCGACACAGGUGGUCAGGUAGAGAAUACCAAGGCGCUUGAGAGAACUCGGGUGAAGGAACUAGGCAAAAUGGUGCCGUAACUUCGGGAGAAGGCACGCUGAUGGUAAGUGAAGCGACUUGCUCGUGGAGCUGAAAUCAGUCGAAGAUACCAGCUGGCUGCAACUGUUUAUUAAAAACACAGCACUGUGCAAACACGAAAGUGGACGUAUACGGUGUGACGCCUGCCCGGUGCCGGAAGGUUAAUUGAUGGGGUUAUCCUCGCGGAGAAGCUCUUGAUCGAAGCCCCGGUAAACGGCGGCCGUAACUAUAACGGUCCUAAGGUAGCGAAAUUCCUUGUCGGGUAAGUUCCGACCUGCACGAAUGGCGUAAUGAUGGCCAGGCUGUCUCCACCCGAGACUCAGUGAAAUUGAACUCGCUGUGAAGAUGCAGUGUACCCGCGGCAAGACGGAAAGACCCCGUGAACCUUUACUAUAGCUUGACACUGAACACUGGUCCUUGAUGUGUAGGAUAGGUGGGAGGCUUUGAAGUGUGGACGCCAGUCUGCAUGGAGCCAUCCUUGAAAUACCACCCUUUAAUGGCUGGUGUUCUAACGUGGGCCCGUAAUCCGGGUUGCGGACAGUGUCUGGUGGGUAGUUUGACUGGGGCGGUCUCCUCCUAAAGAGUAACGGAGGAGCACGAAGGUCAGCUAAUCCUGGUCGGACAUCAGGAGGUUAGUGCAAUGGCAUAAGCUGGCUUGACUGCGAGCGUGACGGCGCGAGCAGGUGCGAAAGCAGGUCAUAGUGAUCCGGUGGUUCUGAAUGGAAGGGCCAUCGCUCAACGGAUAAAAGGUACUCCGGGGAUAACAGGCUGAUACCGCCCAAGAGUUCAUAUCGACGGCGGUGUUUGGCACCUCGAUGUCGGCUCAUCACAUCCUGGGGCUGAAGUAGGUCCCAAGGGUAUGGCUGUUCGCCAUUUAAAGUGGUACGCGAGCUGGGUUUAGAACGUCGUGAGACAGUUCGGUCCCUAUCUGCCGUGGGCGCUGGAGAAUUGAGGGGGGCUGCUCCUAGUACGAGAGGACCGGAGUGGACGCAUCACUGGUGUUCGGGUUGUCAUGCCAAUGGCAUUGCCCGGUAGCUAAAUGCGGAAGAGAUAAGUGCUGAAAGCAUCUAAGCACGAAACUUGCCCCGAGAUGAGUUCUCCCUGACUCCUUGAGAGUCCUGAAGGAACGUUGAAGACGACGACGUUGAUAGGCCGGGUGUGUAAGCGCAGCGAUGCGUUGAGCUAACCGGUACUAAUGAACCGUGAGGCUUAACCUUACAACGCCGAAG